AUGAUGACUAUAAACGUUUUAAAAGCGGAAGUUUCUGGUCUGUUUUCAGCUCUGCAGGAGGGAACACAUUAAGAACACAACUUCCUGGUGAGAUGAAAAGGCGAUUGGGCUGGAAAAUCCCGUGAGGGCACCGUUCUCUCUGUCUCUGGGGCUGACUUAAAGAGAAGCCGCCCUUUGAAACCCUUUCUGGAACCUCGUCUCUCUGCCCCGAGACAAAACAACGAAGCUGCCGCUCUCAGUUCAGAAAAGGCUCACAGGCCCCCAAGUACUGAACUGAAGAGGUUCUAAGCUACUAUGCUCCUAAUCCGAUAUGACUGGUGCCUUUCUGAAAAGAGAGCGCGAUUACAGGGAUGCGUGUGCUCACAGAGAGAGGGGACAUGGGGAGAAGCCAGCGUCGACGUGUCAAGGAGAGAGGCCUCGGGGGCAAUCAACCCUGCGCACACCUGGAUCUCAGCCUCCCAGCCUCCACAGCUGGGAGAGGGUAAAUGCCUGUGACUUGAGCCUCCCCAUCUUUGGUCCUUUGUUAUGGCCGCCCUAGGGCACCCAUACCCAAUAUAGUUGACUUUUCACCUCUCGUUGCGAAUAGGGGCUUCCCUUGAAGACAGGGCAAGCGUUAGUGUUUUCCAAGGGUCGUGCCCCUCGGUUUCCCUUGGGGGUGAUUUCAGCUCUGUAUUUAAAACACCAUGCCUGCCACCGGUAGACACCCUCAUCUGAUUGCCUCCUUUCCUCCCUAGCAGAACACCGUUUUGGUGGCAUCUAUGUGAGCCGGUAAAAGAGAGGAGAUGAGGCUGGAAAAGUCACGGACAACCUACAAGAACUACACGAAGCACCUGCGUGCUGUAUCAGGCUCCAGGGGGACCCUUUGGAGUUGUCCGACUCACCCUAUAGCACAGACCCAGCCUCAGUGCUCCAGGGUGGUGCUUCAUCUUUCUCUACACAUGACCCCCGCUGUCGCCAUGGAAACCUCAUCCUAAGAGACAAAGAUGGUGCCCACUACCCUGGGCAUCGGUACCCUCACACGUCAUUGACAGCCAGACGCCUGGGCACAACGCAAGUCAGUUUACGUAGGGAUGGAAAUAGCGGUGGCUAAGUUGUUGUAGGGAAGGUUAGCAAAGAAAACUAUUUAAUACGAUAUUUUUGAGAAGCUGUCUGCGGGUUCAGAGAAUAUUGUGUUGGUAUAUCUGUCACUGGAUUUAAGAAGCAGACAAGCUUCCCUGUACAAUUCUUCUCACUUCCCCAACAAAUCAGUUUGAUCAGUCUCAAUGACAACUGAAAGGUGUUUUAAGCACCUGUCACUCUAACAUGGUAGGUGGACACACCUCAGCAGGGUCUGUGUUUGAAGCAAGCUAACCCUCUGGUAGGAGUUGACACUCAUAUAUUCUACUGUCUCUACGAGAGUAUUUCUCAACGAAUACCCCAGGUAUCCCUGCAUUUUUUGGCAUUAUUUUCCUCUAUUUUCUUGUAAGACACUGUUGGCGAAGUGUGCAUUGUGGGGGACUUGAUGCUCACCUCAAUAACCCUAUCAGAUGAUUCUCCUUCUCUUUUCCACUUUGUGGACAUAUGGCAACCAAAGCCCUCUCUCCCGUGUGUAUGACAAGACUGGUGAGGGUCACCCUUACCUCCAUACUUUCCAUAAAGACAGAAGAAGAAGGAACACGGUCAGCAAGGCAACCGUGCCAGAAAUUAAAAUAAAUUUUGGGAAAAGCUUUUUCUCCUGGCAUGAAUCUAAA